AUACGUAGGGGGCGAGCGUUGUCCGGACUGAUUGGGCGUAAAGGGCGCGUAGGCGGCCCGGUAAGUCUGGAGUGAAAGUCCUGUUUUUAAGAUGGGAAUUGCUUUGGAUACUGUCGGGCUUGAGUGUCGGAGAGGUAAGUGGAAUUCCCCGUGUAGCGGUAAAAAGCGUAGGGAUUGGGAGGAACACCAGUGGCGAAGGCGACUUACUGGACUGUAACUGACGCUGAGGCGCGAAAGUGUGGGGAGCAAACAGGAUUAGAUACCCUGGUAGUCCACACUGUAAACGAUGAAUGCUAGGUGUAGGGGGUAUCGACCCCUUCUGUGCCGCAGUCAACACAAUAAGCAUUCCGCCUGGGGAGUACGGCCGCAAGGUUGAAACUUAAAGGAAUUGACGGGG
rnacentral:rRNA from 1 species